rnacentral:rRNA from 1 species
UACGGGGGGGGCAAGCGUUGUUCGGAAUUACUGGGCGUAAAGGGCUCGUAGGUGGCCAACUAAGUCGGACGUGAAAUCCCUCAGCUUAACUGGGGAACUGCGUCCGAUACUGGAUGGCUUGAGUUCGGGAGAGGGAUGCGGAAUUCCAGGUGUAGCGGUGAAAUGCGUAGAUAUCUGGAGGAACACCGGUGGCGAAGGCGGCAUCCUGGACCGGUAUUGACGCUGAUGCGCGAAAGCCAGGGGAGCAAACGGG